rnacentral:rRNA from 1 species
AGUGAGCGCUGGCGGUAGGCCUAACACAUGCAAGUCGAACGGCAGCACAGUAAGAGCUUGCUCUUACGGGUGGCGAGUGGCGGACGGGUAAGGAAUACAUCGGAAUCUACUUUUUCGUGGGGGAUAACGUAGGGAAACUUACGCUAAUACCGCAUACGACCUACGGGUGAAAGCAGGGGAUCUUCGGACCUUGCGCGAUUGAAUGAGCCGAUGUCGGAUUAGCUAGUUGGCGGGGUAAAGGCCCACCAAGGCGACGAUCCGUAGCUGGUCUGAGAGGAUGAUCAGCCACACUAGAACUGAGACACGGUCCAGACUCCUACGGGAGGCAGCAGUGGGGAAUAUUGGACAAUGGGCGCAAGCCUGAUCCAGCCAUACCGCGUGGGUGAAGAAGGCCUUCGGGUUGUAAAGCCCUUUUGUUGGGAAAGAAAAGCAGCAGGUUAAUACCCCGCUGUUCUGACGGUACUCAAAGAAUAAGCACCGGCUAACUUCGUG